UGUUUCCCGUAGGUGAACCUGCGGAAGGAUCAUUAUUGAGCUUAAUAUUUUCCUUUUUAAUCAAGUUUUCGCUGUUUGUUUCUAAGCUUUAACUUGAUCUCUAACGGCUUUGAAAGGUUUCUACCGAUGUUUGGAGCAGUUGUAUGAGCGUGACUGUGCUGAUGAACAUUGUACAUUGUUAUCUAAGCGUUUCGUCGUUUCUUGAAUGCUUAGUGAUGAGAAUUAAAGAGGUCUGCUGACUCGCCAUUCUUUGAUUGCUAACAAAAACGUUUUGUUUCGAUAAUUGUGUCACUCGUUGAUGCAUUUUUUAAUUAUCAAGUCUUAUCGGUGGAUCACUCGGUUCGUAGGUCGAUGAAAAACGGGGCAAAAACCGUUAUUUGGCGUGAAUUGCAGACAUAUUGAGCGCUAAAAUUUUGAACGCAAAUGGCACUAACAGGUUUUUAUCUGUUAGUAUGUUCAAUUGAGGGUCUUUUGACUAGAAUCUGGCAAUCGGCUGUGAUUGCUUUUUCGGUAAGCUACUUUGCUUUUGUGAAGUACCUUUUCGGUAUGGCUAUUUGAUUGUCUAAUGGAUGUCUGGCUAGCUGUUUCUUUGCUAGACGUCUGCAAUCAUUUGGCAUUGCGUAGUGUUUGAUUAAUGGUUUAGCGCGUUUCUUGCUAACUGACUUUUACACAAGCAAGUGUAAUACGUUUCUUAAAAGUCAGCUCAUUAAUCAAUGUGGUUUUCUGACUUGAUUUGUCGGUCAAUUUGUGCUAUGCUCUGCUAAUCUUUUCGAACUAGACCUCAAUUUGAGCAAGAUUACCCGCUGAAC
rnacentral:rRNA from 1 species